GGCGCUUUGUGUCCUUCUGGGGGACACAGGGAGCCGACGAGACGGGCAUCUCCGAGGAGACCCCAUCCCGCCAGACGGGAGGACCAUAGCAACCUUCCCGGCCACGAAAGGUGACGCGGCUGCGAAGUGGCCCAGUUGCCACUCCGGGGGAACAAGGGACCCUCCUGAAACAGGAGAAGAAAAACCAAAACCCAUCUCACUGCCCCCCCACCGUCUCCUCGGAGCCUGGGCAAGGACAAGCUGAUUAAUUUUCCCUGGCAAUCCCCGAGGGCCGCUCCGCUGUGCCGCCAUCCGCGGCCGUGCAAAUCCCUGCGGCUGCGGGAGCUCCGCUGCAGCCCAGGGACGAGGAGGAGGAGGAGGGGGAGGAAGGGCAGCUCGCCCGCGGCAUUAGUUAUAAGCACCGCCGUAAUAGCACUCCUAUCCGAGGCUGCAGGAAUAGAGCCAACAGCGAGAUCACCGGGCGCUGGCUUUUCUUUGGGCGUUUGCAGAUCUGUACAAACACGGGGUCUGCCGGCUUUUAUAAACAACUUUCAGGACACAGUCGAUCAAUCAUACUGGCAAGCAAGCAGACCAGGAGCCUAGGAUAUAUACAAGGCAUAAAUACAUACAUAUAAACCCUGUCAAUUUUGGAGUAGUUACAAUUUAUUUUCUAUAAGCCUAAGGGAAACUGUAUCUAGAAAGAUUCUGACAAGUCAGGAAAUCACAGUGGAAAAAUAGAAGGUAUUGUUAGGAACUUACGUUAAAUUGUAUGCUUUAAUACCAGCAAGGGAAAUAUUGGAAAAGAGAAUGAAAAAAGUGUCUAAGAAAGUCGAAGAUUCAAAAAAAAAAAAAAAAAAAAAAAGCAAGCUUACAGUCAGACAGACAAUUUCAAGAAUAUGUGGCUGAAAACAUGAAACCUGGCCACUUUAAAAUACAAUGCAAUAGAUAUAUCUGUAAAAGACAUGAGUUUGCCAGAUUUUCUAGUCAGCAAAGUAUUCUUUAUGCUGCAGUCAUUUCUAGUCUUUAAUUUGAAACAUACUUGUAUCUAGGGAUAGGUCCUUGCAAAUGCCCUGUGUUAUUUUGUUCUGUUUUUUUAAUGACCUUUCGAUAAUAAGAGCUCUGCACAGCAUGGAGUUUGUGCUCUCUCUUUCUGACACUGAGUCUUUUUCUUGUAAAAGGACAUGUGUGAACAAAGAACCCUUUUUUCAUUUUCAUAAAAUGAAGGGUGCAACAGGUUUGCACAUCCCAGUAAUACAGAAAGAAUAGUUGCAUAUCCAGAUAGGAGAAAGAUAAUCAAGUUUCUGGACUUAAAAGAAGAGGACAUAUUCUACGUUGGUGUAAAUUAAAAGUUUCACUGAAAUAGAGGAUUUGUUGGUACUGCAGGAACUGAGUGUUUUUCUUAUGCUCCUGUGAUCCAAAACUGUGGCUCCUUCAUCUGCAUAGUGAGCAUUGAGGAAAGCCUGGGCAAUGAUGCUCAGAGAGCAGAAGCUGUGCUCUAGGAGAAUGCAUCAAGAGGAGCUUUUCCCAACCGGUAAAACCUGCCAAAUAAGUUUGUAAAACUGAGGACCAGAAUGUUGGUGUCAGGAAAGACAUUGUGACUGCAUUGCCUUUAUGCAGCUAUUGUCGGGAAUUAUUUUUUUGAAAUUACUGCAUUUGUUGUGCUAAGUUUUUGUAUCAAGAAUAAACACGAUACUUGGUAAUUUCA